AGAAAAUAAUAAACGUUUAUUUAGGAUGGAGAAUAACAAUCAAAAUGGUUCAAAUGGCCUUAAAAUGUUAUUUCUGGUCCACCAGCCACUAAAAUGUCUUACCAACUAAACUAUUAAUAUUAAAUGACACCAACAAAACACAAAAAAACAGAUGUGCUUUGUAAUGUUUCAAAAACAUGUGUUGCUAGUAAAAAGUAAAGUGGUAUUUAGUCCAAUCACUUUUUUGUGGCCCCGUUAAAUCAGCCAGUGAAAGUGCAGGGCGCCAAAUUCUAACAGAAAUCGCAUAAUUCAAAUUCAGCAAACAUACAAGUAUCUUAUACAAUUUUAAAAGAUAAUCUUGUUGUUAAUCCCACCACAGAGUACGAUUUCAAAAAGGCUUUACAGCGAAAGCACACCAAACGAUUAUGUUAGGUCACCGCCAAGUCACAGAAAAAAACAGCCAUAAAGCAGAAAUAGAGAUAAAAUGAAUCACUAACCUUUGAUGAUCUUCAUCAGAUGACACUUAUAGGACUUCAUGUUACACAAUACAUGUGUGUUUUGUUCGAUAAAGUGGAUAUUAAUAUCCAGAAAUCUCAUUUUACAUUGGCGUGUUAUGUUCAGUAGUUCCAAAACAUGCAGUGAUUUUGCAGAGUCAAUUUACACAAAUACUCAUAAUAAACAUUGAUAAAAGAUACAACUGUUAUACAUGGAACUUUAGAUAAACUUAUCUUAUUAUGCAACCAGUGUCUCAGAUUUUUUUUUUUACUUCACGGAAAAAUACCAUGCAAUAAUCUGAGUACAGCACUCAGAGACCAAAACAGAUAUCCGCCAUGUUGUGGAGUCAACAUUAGUCAGAAAUAGCGUUAUAAAUAUGAACUUACCUUUGAUGAUCUUCAUCAGAAUGCACUCCCAGGAAUCCCAGUUCCACAAUAAAUGUUUGAUUUGUUCAAUAAAGUUAAUAAUUUAUGUCCAAAUACCUCCUUGUUAGCGCGUUCAGCCCUGUAGUCCAUAUUAAUAAUGCCCGAGCAGACACGCGUUUACUAGGAGCUAACUAUCACGUGACCACGCAUGGUCAGCUGCUCCUACCUCUGACUCGUUCCCCUCUCAUUCGGCCCCCAUUCACAGUAGAAGCAUCAAACAAGGUUCUAAACACUGUUGACAUCGAGUGGAAGCCCUAGGAAGUGCAAGAUUACCAAUACCCCACUAUCUGCAAUAGGAGAUGAGUUGAAAAACUACAAACCUCAGAUUUCCCACUUCCUGGUUGGAUUUUUUCUCAGGUUUUUGCCUGCCAUAUGAGUUCUGUUAUACUCACAGACAUCAUUCAAACAGUUUUAGAAACUUCAGAGUGUUUCAGAGUGUCUAUCCAAAUUAACUAAUAAUAUGCAUAUCUUAGCUUCUGGGACUGAGUAGCAGGCAGUUUACUCUGGGCACUUUAUUCAUCCAAUACUGCCUCCAGCCAUAAGAAGUUUUAAGGGCGGUGGGUCACCGUAGGAACGGGACUCAUGUUUGUGCUUGUGAGAGAUUGAGUCUGACUAGUAGAAGUGCUACGUUCUCUUCCUAGCGUGUUGAAACUCAAACAUUGAAAAACCAACCGAGCUUGUGAACAAAACCACGUAGAUCGAAAAGAAAAACAACGUGACACUUCUUCAGUCGACUUUUCUUUUCAAGUAAAUUAGACAAACUUUUAUACCUGUGCCCAGCGCUUCUAAAAAUGAAUAUUUUAACUCAGCUCUUAGGGUGCGCACAGCCCCCAGCCAGGCAGUGUUGCAGCAGGAGGUGGGAUUGGCUAUAGGAGUCGCAGCAGGAGGUGGGAUAGGCUAUAGGAGUCGCAGCAGGAGGUGGGAUAGGCUAUAGGAGUCGCAGCAGGAGGUGGGAUUGGCUAUAGGAGUCGCAGCAGGAGGUGGGAUAGGCUAUAGGAGUCGCAGCAGGAGGUGGGAUUGGCUAUAGGAGUCGCAGCAGGAGGUGGGAUUGGCUAUAGGAGUCGCAGCAGGAGGUGGGAUAGGCUAUAGGAGUCGCAGCAGGAGGUGGGAUUGGCUAUAGGAGUCGCAGCAGGAGGUGGGAUUGGCUAUAGGAGUCGCAGCAGGAGGUGGGAUAGGCUAUAGGAGUCGCAGCAGGAGGUGGGAUAGGCUAUAGGAGUCGCAGCAGGAGGUGGGAUAGGCUAUAGGAGUCGCAGCAGGAGGUGGGAUAGGCUAUAGGAGUCGCAGCAGGAGGUGGGAUUGGCUAUAGGAGUCGCAGCAGGAGGUGGGAUAGGCUAUAGGAGUCGCAGCAGGAGGUGGGAUUGGCUAUAGGAGUCGCAGCAGGAGGUGGGAUUGGCUAUAGGAGUCGCAGCAGGAGGUGGGAUAGGCUAUAGGAGUCGCAGCAGGAGGUGGGAUAGGCUAUAGGAGUCGCAGCAGGAGGUGGGAUUGGCUAUAGGAGUCGCAGCAGGAGGUGGGAUUGGCUAUAGGAGUCGCAGCAGGAGGUGGGAUUGGCUAUAGGAGUCGCAGCAGGAGGUGGGAUUGGCUAUAGGAGUCGCAGCAGGAGGUGGGAUAGGCUAUAGGAGUCGCAGCAGGAGGUGGGAUUGGCUAUAGGAGUCGCAGCAGGAGGUGGGAUAGGCUAUAGGAGUCGCAGCAGGAGGUGGGAUAGGCUAUAGGAGUCGCAGCAGGAGGUGGGAUAGGCUAUAGGAGUCGCAGUUCUAGGACUUUGUGCGAUUCAUUUUCCAGUUUAGAAACAACACCGGCAGAUGGCGGGUGUUAAUUUUAGGCCCUGGCCACCAGAAUGAAGAGACGUUGGAGUCACUUUCCCAGGAUACAGAUUAAACUUCUGUGUUCUCGUGACAGUGCAAGUGGUUUCACACUGUCUAGGGAGCAGAGUCCACGAGACUCAAAGGAGACAGGUGACAGGUGACAGGUGACAGCGUAGUGCAAAUUAAGAUAAAAGGCUCAUUAAAAUCUUAGAUCUUCCAGAGCUCUACAGGGGU